AGAUGCCUUCUGUUGGUUCUUAUGAGCCACAUCUUCCUUUAGACGCAUCAAGCACCCUACAUGUUGAAGGUUUCCCACCCAACUGUACUAGACGGGAACUUGCACAUAUAUUUCGCCCUUUUACUGGGUUCUGUGCAGUAAGGCUGGUCAACACAUGAUAUAAUAAUCGACAUGUAAUAGCUUAUGUUGACUUUGAAACUCCUGCCCAAGCCUUCUCUGCCAUGAAGUCUCUGCAAGGUUAUUUGUUUGACAUGCAUGACCGAUACUCAGUCAAAUUGGACCUCCA